rnacentral:lncRNA from 1 species
AAUAUCUAUAAAUACAUAUCCAACCACACAGGUUCUCUCCCUCAAUUUCAUUAUUCUGCUUCUUCUUGGUGCUUUCUUCUUCGUGUGCGAGAGCGAGAAAAACGAAAACCAGUGUGUGUGUUUCGGAUUUUUUUCCCAAUAGAAUCACCAUGCGAUCAUCAUCUUGUUCCAGUUCGUCUUCUUCUUCUAAUUCCAAUUCACUCGCUGCAACAAGUAUGACCAACAGACUCGAGACCAUCUUUAAGAAAGCUUACGAGCUU